CAGAGUUAUACAACUCCCAUACCAUUUGUUAACCUACCCAGUUAUGCCUCGGCGUAAGCUCGGUUGGAGGCACCUGCAGCUACCCUGUAGUUGCACCCGCAGCUACCCUGUAGUUGUUGGUGCAGCUACCCUGUAGUUGCGGACUGCCAACUCCAGCCGCGGCCCGCCGGCGGUACACUAAACUCUGUUUUAUUUUAUAUUCUGAGCGUCUUAUUUUAAUAAGUUA
rnacentral:misc_RNA from 1 species